UUGUGGGUGGAUGCGUGCGUUUGUUGUUUUGCUGAAGUCCGAGUGGGAGGAGAAACUCAUCGUCUCGAAUUGUCUUCUCUUCCUCCGCAGAGAGCGGCGACACCUACCAGAGGCAGGUGCUAUCCAUCUUCAGCAUCGCCUCGGGGAUCUGUCUUCUUGGAGUGGCGUGCAUGGCUCUCUACCGCCGCAACAAGAGACACCGCGAAAAGCUCCAGGCUCAUUUCUCCAGCAGCCGCAGCCUGAGAGACUGCAGCGUCAACGCCUCCGGCCUCAUGUCCAAAUCCACUCCGAGGUUUCAGUACAGCCUUCAUCUCCAAAACGGCUGCGGUCCUCAUGGAUCAUCUGUUAAGGUCGGCAACGUGACACCAGGCACUUCAGCGGCAACCCCGCCGAUUCUCAGCAAAGCGCUCUCUAAAGGGAAACGCUUCAGGAGCAGCUCCCUCUCGCUUAGUCCAGCUCUGCAGCGGAAAGAGGCCAGCCACUUCAGGACGCCGCCAAUUCCCAGAGGGAAGCACAAAGUCCCAACAAAUCUCAUGGAGGGAUCCAGAGGGAGCGGCCACGUCUACAAACACUUGCAGGAGGAGGAAUCCACAGACGUGGAGUCCGUCAGGAGGUGCGACUCCGCCGGUGGACGGGUGGGCGUGCUCCUCAGCAGGACCUCCCUGUCUCACUUUACUGCCAGGAAAGGAUGGACCGAGGUCCCCUGCACCCGCCUGGAUAAGGACACGACUUUCCUCCCUCCUUCCUUGCGCACGCGCUCCGUGCCCAUCAUCCCAUCCCUCCAAGCGUGCGACCCGGACGAAGGGCGCCAGAAGAUUAGUGACUGGAACCGGGCAGGGCUCAUCAAGUGGCCCCCUGCUCCGGCUGGGAAGCCGGGGCUUCCCAUUAGCAGUUUUCCCUCUCAGCCGGAGUCUGUGCCCCCUGCGACCGCCUAUGCCCCAACGGGAUCGGAGGAGAACCUCAGCGCCGCUGAAUCCACACUGAUUUCGGAGCGAAAAAGCCUCUCAUGCCCCAAGAAAGUGAACGGAUCUCACAGCGCGAUCCCUCACGGCGGCCCAGAGGCCGAGUCGGGGGGAAACGGCGUCCGAAAUACAGCCGGAGCUCCGCACACAAGCAGCGGGAGCAGAGGUUUGAAGGCGGCAGGCCAAAGAGAAAUCCAGGGACAGAGCCAAGGUCAGACACCCCCCUCGUAUGGAGGCGAAAACUGCUUCCUGGCCAAAGGACCCAGCUGCAGAGGAACUGGAAACCCUCCUGCAAGCUGAUUGGAUUAACUCUGUAAAGCUACAAAGACACCUUUUCCAAAUGACUGUGCACCUUAGCUGGUGGCUCAGGAUUGUUAGCAGGUGGGCCCAUCUGUGUGACCACAUGGACCAAAAAAACCAAAAAAAAAACCAACAAAAAAACAGAUGGAGAUCGAUUUUUGAAGGAAACUGAACAGAUUGAACUGCCAGAAGAAGAAAAAAAUAACUACAAAUGAAAAAAAGCUUGACACAAAAAGACAUCAAACCACCCAGAAAAAAAGAGACAAACAAACACACGUUGUGAAUAAAUGUGACUCAAUAAGGAAAACAAAAGCGUCACUUGAGUGGGAGCUUGACUUGACAGUUUAUUGAAAAAAAUGCCACUAUUUAAAAGGAGCUUCUACUUAGAAACCAAAAUAGUGUGUCAUCUCUAUGUUGUUUCUCUAUUGUAAAGAAAUGAAAUUAUAUAUGUCAUAUAAUAUAUGUCUCACAGACGUAUAUAUAUUUGACAUAAAAUUGUGACAAAAUAAAGACUAAGAUAACAGUGUUAUAAAUGUCUUUGAUCAUUCCACUGUUUGUGUGUUUAUGCUGUCCUACAUUUAAAAGAAAUAUGAAUUAUUUUAUAAGCUGAAAUUACUUAAAGUAAAAAGCUGCAGUUUUUAAAGAACAACUAUGAUCAUCUUUUGAGCUAUUUUAAAAGCAUUCCCAGUUGUCUUUUAGGGUAUGAUUUAUGUAUUUUCUGCACUAUAGG
ensembl:lncRNA